AUGGCAGAUGACUCCGGUGCAGCGGGAGGGCCUGGAGGCCCCGGGGCCCCGGAAUGGGAAGCCGCAGUGGCUUUCGCGGCCGCUGCCGAGGUCCCAGCCAGGGUCGGGGGCGGGGGCGAGGCCGAGGACAAGGAGUGGAUGCCCGUCACCAGGUUGGGCUGCUUGGUCAAGGACAUGAAGAUCAAGUCACUGGAGGAGAUCUAUCUCUUCUCCCUGCCUAUCAAGGGGUCUGAAAUCAUCGACUUUUUCCUUGGUGCCUCUCUGAAGGAUGAAGUUUUGAAGAUCAUGCCUGUGCAAAAGCAGACUCGCGCUGGCCAGCGGACUAGGUUCAAGGCGUUUGUUGCCAUCGGGGACUACAAUGGCCACGUCGGUCUAGGUGCUCCAAAGAAGUAGCCACCGCCAUUAAGUGCUCCAAAGAAGUAGCCACCGCCAUUCUGGGGCCAUCAUCCUAGCCAAGCUGUGUCCAUUGUCCCUGUGCGGAGAGGCUACUGGGGGAACAAGAUUGGCAAACCCCACACUGUCCCUCGCAAGGUGACUGGCCGCCGUGGCUCUGUCCUGGUGCGCCUUAUCCCUGCCCCCAGGAGCACUGGCAUCAUCUCGCCCCCCGUGCCUAAGAAACUGCUCAUGAUGGCUGGCAUUGAUGACUGCUACACCUCAGCCAGGGGCUGCACUGCCACCCUGGGUAAUUUCGCCAAGGCCACCUUUGAUGCCAUCUCUAAGACUUACAGCUACUUGACCCCUCACCUCUGGAAAGAGAUAGUGUUCACCAAGUCUCCUUAUCAGGAAUUCACGGACCAUCUCGUCAAGACCCACACCAGAGUCUCCAUGCAGAGGACCCAGGCUCCAGCGGUGGCAACGACAUAGGGUUUUCAUACAAAAAAAUAAAGUGAACCAAGCCA